GCUCCGGGCAGCAGGAAGAAGGUGAGACCAGAAGGCAGAGGGGGCUGGUCCUGCCUGGUCAGCCCCCAGGGGGCUUUGCCCAGACACCCCUUCCCCACCCAUGGCUCUGCUGAUUUCUCUAUAGCUGCCACCCUCUGAAAAGGGAGCUGGCAGAGUAGUUCUUAGACAUGGCACCUGGCCACCUCUGUGGCUGAAGAAGAAGGGGGUUGAGGAUUGGGGUACACACCUGUCAGUCUCCAUGCAAUGCCCCAAAGUGGACCACUGACCCCACACCACGCUGUUCUCCUCUGAGUUUUCUCACCUCUGUCCAAAUGGCUGCAGAAGCCAAAAGCCCCAGAGCCCAGCUCCCCUUCCCUCCUUUCUCUUCCAUCCUUCCAUCCUUCCAUGAGCCUGCCCCUCAUCCUCCUCAGGGCUGGAACUGGCUGCCGGAUUCCUCCCUGGCUCCGUGGGGGCUGGCUCAGCAAUCUGAGCUGCCGAUGGCUCUGUGGUCCAGCUGGGAGGAUUCAUGCCCCAUUGGGGCUGAGAGGAAUGAGGUGAGGGCUGUGGGGUUUGCCCAGAAUCUCCUGAAAUAUCGGGCCCAGGAACUACAGCAGGACUCUCAUUCCGCCUUCUGGCCACUGUUGGGGGUGACACUGGCAGGAUCCAGGGGCUCUGGAAAGCUCCAGGGGAAAUUUGAGGCAUAACCCAGCUUCUCUGAGACGGAACUCAGGGAGGAUCCAGCUCAAUCCUACAGAGGCGACCCCAAGGAAGGACCUGCCCAGGGUCACUUGGAGAGCUGGGCGGGAGGAGGGAGAAACCUCCCCCGUUCAGAGUGACAAAGCCCCCCUUGCCUCAGGGAUGGCUGAGAUCCAAGUCCUCAAAACACGCCGCCAUCUGGAGGGUGUGAGAGCGAGGUCCGUCCUCAGCAUGGACGCUGCAGUGCACACUGUUCCGUGCCAGGUGCUGGCUGACCCUGCCCUGUGGGAGGUGAUGGACAGGCACACAGGGGGAGCCCCGCAAACAAGGGGCCCUGUUACAGCAGAGUGGGAGAGCGCCUGGUAGGACGCCAAGCACCGUGGCCGGGCUGCAGAGAGGCCUGCGGGACUUGUAGACAAGACGUCAUGGAGAAGGCGGAGCUCCCAUGGGCCUUGCAGGUUUCACCAAGCAAGAGCGGAGAAGACACAGGCUGGACAAAGGAAGGUGGACGGGACAGCCAGCCGUGCAGCAGCCUCACAGGACACAGCUGUCGCUUCCCCUGGCACCUAAGCUUGCCUGAAAGUUGGGAAUAUGAUGACUCACCGUAUUUGGCAGCUCGUAUGCGUCUAUAUUUCAAGACAUUCAUGCUCAUGCUCAUUAUAAUUAGGGCUGGAGAAUCAGCACAGUCAACUGCCAAAAUCAAGUGCACAAUUCAUAUCAACCUUUCAGACCAGACAGAGAGCACCAGCUGACACUCAUUCCUCCAGCACCAGGAAAUGCCACAGCAGAAGAGAGUCUUCAAGAUGGGCCAGACCCACUUCUGCAGCAUGGUUGCUGGGAGCCUGCACAGGCCAGGCAUUUCUCUACAGGUCAGCAGAGCUGCAGCAAGAUCCCAGGUCCUGACCCAAGGCAGUCCUGACCCAUGGUCUAUCCCCACCGGCCCUUCCCUGGAGCUGUGCCUCAGCUGGGGAGGUACUUCUGGAAGGCAGGUGGAGGAGGUCCAGUUGCUCUUCAGAACUCAAAAUCCCAUCUCUGCAGGUCUCAGCCAAUCCUGCUCCCGCCUGUUUUUAUUUCCUGCCCAGAGCAAGUACAGAACCGAGGGCCAUCGAUGGGCGAGAAAUCACUGUGCCUCCAAGCUGUAUUUUUCACCGUAACAAGUCAUUACUUCUGUGCCCGGAGUCAUUUCUCAGGAUCUUAAUGCAUUCGUUUAUCAAUCAAUACUUAACUGAUGUCUAUAAAGCAUGUUCAAAAUCAGAGGUGAGAGCAGCUCACCAGGUACCGACUUCGUGUCUGGAGCCACCUUGUUAAGGAGCAACCCUUGGCACGGGUCCCGUGUCUGCACCCUCGGGAGCUCUGGGUGGGUGCACUGGGGUCCUCACAGCCCUUCCCACCACCGCAGAUGGAAAUCUCUACCUGGCAGAGGGGCUCAGUCGUCCCCACCUGGGAGUCUGGGGCCUACCGGCAGCAGAAGGUGCAGUGGCCAAACACAGAGACAUUUCUAUCAUCAGACCUGGUCCCCAGCCUGACUCUGCUGCCCACUUACCCCUGGCCAGGGCGAGUUCAUCGACUGUGCCGAGCCUGGCUGCUUCUCCAGCCUAACAGGAGUCCCCGUCUCGACAGGACUGAGUGGGGUGAAUGCAGCCAAGUGCUCAGCAGAGACUGUCCCACCGGGAAGUGUUCACAAAUAUGGGCUGUUGAACCUGCUGUUGUUAGAUCUAGAUCCAGUUCUGCGACCACGUUCAUGACUUAGAUCAUAACUGAAGUGCGGGCCAGCCGAGGCCGGGCCGUUUAGGGGUUUGGCUGCUAAUUCAAGAAGGACACCUGGGUUUGGAUCCCAGAGUUCCCUCCAGACCCAGAUGUGGCCUCAGGCAGGUGAUGAGCCUGGAGAUGCGGUUUCAUUUUCUGCAGGGUGGUCAAAGGAGAUCUCAGGCUUGUAGGAGACAAAGCACAUCGCCCCGAACUGCUCAGGAGGCGCAGAUUACAGCCACCCUCCUUAUCCACCCCGUCUCCCAUCACAGCCCUCAUGAGUGCUCAAGCAAGGCUCAGGGCCUGAUGGACGUGGCUGCCUCCUCCUAGAGGACAGGCAUGUCUCGGCUGCCUGCACCAGCCAGCGGCCCUUCUCCCCGGCCAGGAGAUCCUCCAAGGAAGGCCAAGGGCCAAGCAGCUGCUGGAGCAGAUGACCACAAACUCAGUGACUGCAGAGUGCACGCGCUCAUCACCUUACAGUUGUGUAGGCUGGGAUCCCACUGGGCUAAGACCAAGGUGUUGGGAGGCUGCGUUUCUUGCUGGAUGCUGUAAGGGAGAAGUCGUUUCCUCGUGUUUUUUUAACUUCCUUGGCCCACGGACCUUCCUCCACCUUCAAAGCCAGCAGCCUCGCGUCUUCUGACCUUCCAUUGUCACAUCGUCAUCUGACCCACGUAAGGACCCGUGUGAUUAGGGUGGGCGCACCCGGGUAAUCUUCCCAUCUCAAAGUCCUUGACUGAAUCACAUCUGCAAAGUCCCCUUUGCUACGUAAGGUCACAUGUUCACAAGAUCCAGGGAUUAGGACUUGGACAUUUUUGGAAGCCCAUUGUCCUGCCAACAGCACAAGACCUCCAGGUGAUCCUGAUGUGUAACGCACAGUGAGAGACAAAUGCUCUGAUGGACCAUCAACAGCAGAACGUAAGCAGGGAGAGGGACCCCGCCUUCCUCCCCAAUCUGGCCCUGUGCCUAGCAAAUUAUAGAACUUUUGUAAGCAAA
ensembl:lncRNA LINC00898 long intergenic non-protein coding RNA 898